rnacentral:rRNA from 1 species
AUACGGAGGGUGCAAGCGUUAUCCGGAAUCAUUGGGUUUAAAGGGUCCGUAGGCGGACUAAUAAGUCAGGGGUGAAAUCCCACAGCUUAACUGUGGAACUGCCUUUGAUACUGUUAGUCUUGAGUUAUAUGGAAGUAGAUAGAAUGUGUAGUGUAGCGGUGAAAUGCUUAGAGAUUACACAGAAUACCGAUUGCGAAGGCAGUCUACUACAUAUAUACUGACGCUAAUGGACGAAAGCGUGGGGAGCGAACAGGAUUAGAUACCCUAGUAGUCC